ACAGAGGGUGCAAGCGUUAAUCGGAAUUACUGGGCGUAAAGCGUGCGUAGUCGGUUAUCUAAGUCGGAUGUGAAAUCCCCGGGCUCAACCUGGGAAUUGCACUCGAUACUGGAUAGCUAGAGUUCGGCAGAGGGAAGCGGAAUUUCGGGUGUAGCGGUGAAAUGCGUAGAUAUCCGAAGGAACAUCAGUGGCGAAAGCGGCUUCCUGGACCAGAACUGACGAUCAGGCACGAAAGCGUGGGGAGCAAACAGGAUUAGAUACCCUGGUAGUCCACGCCAUAAACGAUGACAACUAGACGUUGGGGACAUAUGGUCCACAGUGUCGCAGCUAACGCGUUAAGUUGUCCGCCUGGGGAGUACGGCCGCAAGGUUG
rnacentral:rRNA from 1 species